AUUGAACGCUGGCGGCAGGCCUAACACAUGCAAGUCGAACGAGUGGCGGACGGGUGAGUAAUGUCUGGGAAACUGACCGAUGGAGGGGGAUAACUACUGGAAACGGUAGCUAAUACAGCAUACCAUCGGAUGUGCCCAGAUGGGAUUAUCUAGAAGGUGGGGUAACGUCUCACCGGGGCGACGAGCCCUAGAUGGUCUGAGAGGAUGACCAGCCACACUGGAACUGAGACACGGUCCAGACGCCUACGGUAGGUAGCAUUGGGGAAUAUUGCACAAUGGGCUCAAGCCUGAUGCAGCCAUGCCGCGUGUAUGAAGAAGGCCUUCGGGUUGUAAAGUACUUUCAGCGAGGAGGCGUUACUCGCAGAAGAAGCACCGGCUAACUCCGUGCCAGCAGCCGCGGUAAUAC
rnacentral:rRNA from 1 species